GUGUUCGUAGUGUAAUGGUUAGCGUGAAUCCUUUUCAAGCAUUCGAUGGUGGUUCGAUUCCACUCAAAUGCA
rfam:Dictyocaulus viviparus strain HannoverDv2000 D_viviparus-1.0_Cont1.137, whole genome shotgun sequence.